UCUGAGCAGGUGCAAUGAAAGAUCCUAGAU
rnacentral:piRNA from 1 species